UACGUAGGCAGCGAGCGUUGUUCGGAAUUACUGGGCGUAAAGGGCGCGUAGGCGGCCUGCUAAGUCGAACGUGAAAUCCCUGGGCUCAACCCAGGAACUGCGUCCGAUACUGGUUGGCUUGAAUCCGGGAGAGGGAUGUGGAAUUCCAGGUGUAGCGGUGAAAUGCGUAGAUAUCUGGAGGAACACCGGUGGCGAAGGCGGGUCUCUGGGCCGAUACUGACGCUGAGGAGCGAAAGCGUGGGGAGCGAACAGG
rnacentral:rRNA from 1 species